GAGGGAAGCCGGACGGCGGUUGCGCCGAGAACCCCGUCAGGUCCGAAAGGAAGCAGCGGUAUUGGUUGCAAUCGGGUGUCUGGCUUCCACUCAA
rnacentral:SRP_RNA from 1 species